rnacentral:lncRNA from 1 species
AGAAAACAUGUUCUCAAGAGGUUUCCGUUUCAAGUUGGCAGCCUUAAGUCAGCGGAGCUGGAGUCAAACUUUUUAAGGAAUGUCUGAGCUUGGAUCCUGCUCUGGGCUUCGCCUGGUCUCCAACUUUUGGGGCCCAGAUUUGGAACCGCCGUGGCUGGCUGAUAACGGGCUAUACCGAGAGUGCCCGAGGGGGGAGCCGGGCGUGUUGCUCCCACAAUACCCUCACUGGCUCCAAAGGGCGCGUCGCACGCGCAGGAGAUGAUUUAUGGACCCUGGCUAGGAAGAGAUUAGGAGCAUCAUUUAAACACAGAUCUGCUUUUCUUUCUUCUGGGAAAGUAGCCUCUUUUCAUUCAGAAAAAGGUAGCAGGAGUCCCGGUUGGCACAUCCAGCCGAAGGCAUCUCCGCACUGCGGAGUCGUUCUCCCCAAAUCAUGACGACGCUCUCCUCUUCUGCCCACCAUCCCAGUUCUGACCGUCGGGCUGGAUGGCCAGCCGUGCCCGUACGGCUGAGCUCCUCCCUGGUUAUGGCCCUGUUUGUGUUCCUAGUGUUUUCCUGGAUGGCUUUUCGUCUUUCAUUUCUGUUUCUUAUUCUUCUCUUUUCCCUGCGCUGUGAUGACGGCGGCUUGAUGGAGACUGACUGUAUGGAAAAAGGCAGCACAGGGCGGACAAGAAGGCUUGGCCCAAAGAGAAACGCGGGGCCUCCUUGUUCAACUGACCCCCGAAAUGGCCCAGAAUGGUGGUGGAUACCUACACGCGUCAUUUUCACUGUUGUGCCAAGGGAGUAAAGAUGUUAACUUAUGUCCAGAGAGUCUGCUGAUUGGUUCUGUCCGGCCCCACUAUUAUUUUAAAUCAACGGCUCCUGCCGCAAAAUCAGAUAAUUUCUCAGAAGACUUGCAUGGCAGCAUAUUCUAC